GUCUAGUCUAAAAUAAUUUAGUCACACCCUUGAAACGUGACCAAAUCCCCUUUUCCCUUCCCCUUCUCUCUCUUACCAAAAAAUGCGUGAGACUCUUUCUAGUUUCUAAACCUUGCAAACUCCUUUGCCGCCGACCCCAACCUUUGGUUUGGGUGCCGGUGGCUAUCCUUGUCCAAGUUCCUUGUUCUCCUCUUUCCCUCUUUCUCCUGAUCCUCUUCUUUCUUUUUCAAUUUUCUUCUGAGAUUUUUCUCAGUUUUCUUGAGCUUUGUCUCAAAUUUUUCCAUGAGUUUGUCUCACUUUUGGACUUCAUGUCCCUCCUCUCCACCCCUCCCUCUCCUUUGGCCGUUCAUUUCCAAACCCAAAACUCCAUCUCUCCUCACUUUUCCCCUUUGCCUCCCUUCCCCAUAAAUCAUCCCCACCCCAUCCUUUGCUCUGAUCUGCAAAACUCUGGAUCGAAUAUGGUUGCCAGCUUUAUUUCCCUUCCUCACUGUCCCUUUGCCGGAUUUCCAUAGAGGCCAAGUGUACUGCGACUUUAGCCAAAGAUUCGUGAAUGGAAUUUGGAUCUGGUGACUAUCUUUUGGUUCUGCAUCUUUAGGAAAGAAAUCUGGAUGUGGUGUGCUUCUUGGUGUGGGUUUGGUACUUUUGUAUAGCGAUAUCUUGUUUGUUUUCACCACUCGAUUGUUUUCUCUGGUGUUGCUACUUCGGUAGUUGCUAGCAAGACUUUCGUGGCGAUGAUGGUGACGGAUGCUGCUUUCUAUGGUAGAAAAUUAAGGAUUUGGGUUCCCGUUUCAGUUUAUUUAUUUGGGCUGAGCUUUUAUGUAUUUGUUUCCCAAUGUAUUUGAGUUAUUUUUCCUUCCUUUGAGUUGGCCAACUAUUUAUAUACAUGUAUUCUAAGAUUGAUUUUCUCCAA